GGUAAAAUGGCUGAGUAAGCAUUAGACUGUAAAUCUAAAGACAAAGGUAAAGUCCUUUUUUUGCCA
rnacentral:tRNA from 2 species